CUGCCCUUUCCCUCUUUCAUCAGUCUCUCUCACCCUCAUUGUACGCUGCCACACUUGUCUCCAUGGGAACCGCUCUGGGAUUGGGUGUUGUUCCUGUGACCUCUCGAGCUCUUGGAGUUGAGUGAACUUUUUUUUUUUUCCUGCACCCUCCAUCCUCACUCGUGCACGUUUUUAAAGCAAAGUGUGUGUAUGUGAGAGAGAACUGGAAAGUGAAAAAUUAUGUCUGUCAUGAAAAUGAGCUCAUGCAUGCGUGAUGCGGAGACAAUGUGUGUGAGAGUGAGCGUGUGUUACAGGAGUGCAGCCACUCGGUCCACGCAUGUGCACCUGCAUUGUCCCGUGGCUGCAGCCGGCCACCAACUCUACAUUCAGAGGCACCCCGUUGUCCGUCAAUCCCUAUUCAUGGCUGUUAGGCCAGACGUGAUCAUAUCUUUUCAUGCUGUGCUACCAAGCGACACGCACAUCUGAAUACACAGAGAUAGAGAAACUUAGAAAGCCAUGUCGGUGGAAAAUUUAAACCAUUAACACACCAAGUCUUUCAAUAUUUAACCAAAGGAAGAAGAAAACAAAAAAGUGUUUAUCUGAGUCGCGGCGUCAGUCUUGGAUUUCGUCUCGGGCGCACACGGGAUGUUGAAGCUCAAAUAGAUUUCUUUAGAAAAUUAAAAGGAAUUAAUUCUACAUGUACGGUCGGACUGAACUAAAAUGUUUUUGUUGUUUUCACUCAGCACUAUACCAGCUGUGCAAUCAAAAGGACCCUACGCAGUCUGGCUGAAUUAUGGAGGAAACCUUUGGAAAUAAAAGGGAAAGUAACCGCCAGGAGCUGCUGAUCUACUACACUUGAUUAACCAAUCGUCAACAAAUAUGAGCACCUUUUUACAAGCAGAAGUUUUUACAGUGUGGUGGUAAUACAAUACCAAUGAGGAAAUGAGGAAAAAUCUUAGAGAAGCAAUUGCUGUUGUCCAUUAAUAUGGGAAGGGUUAUAAGGCCAUUUCAGAACAAUCUGAAGUCCAUCACUCUCCGGUAAGAAAGAUUAUUCACAAGUGAAAGAUACUGAAGACGUCUGCCAAUCUUCCCAGGAGUCGACAUCCCAGCAAAUUCACCCCAAGGUCAGACUGUGCAAAGCUCAGAGACGCUACCAAAAAAAGCUUACGUUUGCAGAACUGCAUUUAAACCAGUGGUUCCCAAACUUUCUUUGCUGGGCCCCCCUUUGUUUUACAAGAAAAUCUUUGUGCCCCCCUGGCACAAACGCAUCCUCCAACCACACACGCCCAUAUUUUGCAUAUAAACUCCAUUGCAGUUUAUUUCACACCUCAAACCUUUAGUAAACAUUAAAAAAAAUGAAAGUAAACUGCAAUAAAUUAGAGGUUACAAUAAAAUAAACUACCAACACUUUUAAAUAACAGAAAAACAAACCAUCUUUAUGGUGUAAUUAUUAUACGUGUAGUUUUUUGUUACUGUGUAAGAAUACUCAAUAUUGCUAUCAAUACAUUUUUCACAAAAUGCCUCUCUGUGCAAACAUAAACAACUGUGGGAUACUGUUUGUCCGGGAUUUGGACAGCCCAGCGGGUGCUCCCGAUGCAGGGGAAACAAAUUCUGAUCGGGAUACCUACCUUGGCGCCACCGUUGUGCAGGUAAAGCCAAAGGCAAAAUAUGCUUCAUCAUUUUUUCUAGUCUUUGGUUUGGAAGCAUAUGUGGCGAUACUUCAUCUUCUGCUUUGUAUUUGUGUGGGAGCCCUGCCAAAAACCUGUCCAUUAUGCUAUCAGUGUCCAAGCAUUCGUUUUUUUAUUCAUACUGCGCCCCCCCUGCAAUGGCUCUGUGCCCCCCUAAGGGGCGCGCCCCCACUUUAGGAACCACUGAUUUAAACAAACCUUUUGUAACAAUGUCCUUUGGACAGACAAGACCAGCGUGAAUCAGUUUAGCUAAUGUUGGCUUUAACAGGCUAUUGCACUGGGAAAGCUUUUUCACAUGACUGUAAUUCUACAGCUAUAAUUAGACAAACCUAUUUUUUCCUGCUUUAUCUUAAAAUAUUCCCCUGACGUGUCACUGAGUAGGGAAAAAAGGCAUCUAAUGAAAUGCUGUAUGAGUUACACAUUUUUCAACCAACCUGUAAGAAUGUAAACAUAACUGUGCCAGCAGCCUCUCGAAAACUCGUAAAACCACAGGGUUGGAAGACAGAAGAAACUUUGAAUAAUCAGGUCAGAAGUGCCACAACACAACAUUUAUUCUACGUCUAUACAGAGGCUACGACUGGAUGCUUCAAGGUUAAAAGGGUACAACCACAGAACCGUGCAUAGCAUAAAGGUGAAACUGCUUUUGUAUCAUCACAAAGGUCGAGCUAUGACAGACUAGGAUCGAAAUCUGAAAGUAUUGUUUUCAAACUCCUGUCUUCGUUUUGUUUCUUCAAGAAUUAUUGGGUAAUUUCACACUUUUACUUGAACUUCUCACAGCUGUCAGACCUAUUAAACCAACUGCAGGUAGGCACAAAACAGCGGAAAUAUUUUAGUUGCUAACACAACAACAAUGAUCAUGAAAUAAUUUUCAUGUAAUCGGAUUAAAAAUGGAAGAUGGAAGACAUAUUCCCCCUUUUUUCUUGAGCUGAGAAUGCUUAAAACUUCUGAAGUCUCGGCAGAGGAGUUAGCACGUUCAACUCUACACCAUGCUCACAGCCAGAAAUACACACACACACACACACGACAAAGAGCCUGUCCUCAGCAGAUGUCCACAACCUGCACGCUGCUAAGCUCAGAGGAUGUCCCACAGGCACGAUGAAAGCACAGGAAAGGUUUCAUCGAGCUACGCUGACAAGUUAUGUUCGACAGUUAUAGUGCAUUGCUGGACUUGCCUGAUAUAACUCAAUAGGCGGAUCCAUCGGAGUAUCAAAUGACAGAAACGAGCCUUUAUCCACCCAAAGUCUAACAGGCCUGUUCUAGGUCCCUGAAGCAGGCACACCGAGCUAUAACGAGCAUGUUUGUGUGACUCAGCAGCGAGACUGCUGAGUCACACAAACUCUCCCCGGGCACACGGGAGAUAAAAUGUCGAAAACUGGAAUUACAUGGGCGCAGGCCGCGCAAGAGAGUUAAGGCUGGCAUCUAAUUUACAAUUUGAUAUGCAAUAAACCGCUGGCAAAAUAUGGUUGUGUAACACGGGGGAAAAGAGCAGAAAAAGAAGAGGAGGAGAGGAAGCAAGGAUGUUGCUAAAGGAGACUAGAAAGGAUAGUUGG
ensembl:lncRNA